UACGGAGGGUGCAAACGUUGCUCGGAAUCAUUGGGCGUAAAGCGCACGUAGGCGGUCUGUUAAGUCGGAUGUGAAAUCCCUCGGCUCAACCGAGGAAGUGCAUUCGAAACUGGCAGACUUGAAUAUGGAAGAGGGUCGCGGAAUUCCCGGUGUAGAGGUGAAAUUCGUAGAUAUCGGGAGGAACACCGGUGGCGAAGGCGGCGACCUGGGCCAAUAUUGACGCUGAGGUGCGAAAGCGUGGGGAGCAAACAGG
rnacentral:rRNA from 1 species